AUGUCGGCUCAUCACAUCCUGGGGCUGAAGUAGGUCCCAAGGGUAUGGCUGUUCGCCAUUUAAAGUGGUACGCGAGCUGGGUUUAGAACGUCGUGAGACAGUUCGGUCCCUAUCUGCCGUGGGCGCUGGAGAACUGAGGGGGGCUGCUCCUAGUACGAGAGGACCGGAGUGGACGCAUCACUGGUGUUCGGGUUGUCAUGCCAAUGGCACUGCCCGGUAGCUAAAUGCGGAAGAGAUAAGUGCUGAAAGCAUCUAAGCACGAAACUUGCCCCGAGAUGAGUUCUCCCUGAGACUUUAGGUCUCCUGAAGGAACGUUGAAGACGACGACGUUGAUAGGCCGGGUGUGUAAGCGCAGCGAUGCGUUGAGCUAACCGGUACUAAUGAACCGUGAGGCUUAACCUUAC
rnacentral:rRNA from 1 species